GAUUGGGGUAUGGCAAGGGGCUAUAAGAUCACACAGAUGAAAGUAGUUUACUCUGUAUGGUGAGGUUGUGGGGGCAGUCCAGGGAGUGUUUCAGAACAAGUCGGAUGUUUGAUCAGAGUUUCAAAGAUUAAAAGGUUUUAGGCAAAGGGAUGAGCAAGUGAAGACUGUUUCAGGCACAGAGAAUAGCAUGUACAAAGGCACUGAAGCAAGAGUAAGCCGAAGCCUUUUGAGAAUUACUAUUAUUUAAUUGGGGCUGCAACACAGGUGUUUGUGGCUGUGAAGUUAGAUGAAGCUGGAACAACAGGUAGGAGUUAGAUCACUAAGGACCUAGCAUUCUGUGCUAAAGAACUUAAACUUGACAGGGAGGAGCUAUUGAACAGUUUUAGGAAGAGUGACAUAAUUAGCUGUAUGUUAGGAAGGGCCAGGCUGGAGGGAGUUAGGCUAUAGUAAGGGAUGAUGAAGACAUGAAAUAACUAAAGCUAGCCAGUGAGGUUGGAUUUGAAAUACUUAGUACUUAGUAGAUAGAACUGACAGAAUUGCUGAUAGUUUGGAGAGGUGUGUGUGUGGUUGGGGGUACUGAGGGAGAGGAAAGAGGUUCUGGCCAAAGUGCCCGGGGGGAUUGGAUACUGUUAAGAUGUGAGGCCAGAAGCUUGCUAGAGCUGCCGGAGAACAGAAUCCAGGGAGAUUUGGAUACAGUUACCAGGCAGAAGCUCUGAUGGCUCAUCUUGUCCCACCUUCAAUCCCCACCCUAAUUCCUUUUCUUUUUUUCCCUCCCUUUCCUCCCUCCCUUUCUUCCCUCCCUUGUCUCCCCUUUUCC
rnacentral:lncRNA from 1 species